ACGACUCUCGGCAACGGAUAUCUCGGCUCUCGCAUCGAUGAAGAACGUAGCGAAAUGCGAUACUUUGUGUGAAUUGCAGAAUCCCGUGAACCAUCGAGUCUUUGAACGCAAGUUGCGCCCCAAGCCUUCUGGCCGAGGGCACGUCUGCCUGGGUGUCACAAAUCGUCGUCCCCCCAUCCUCUCGAGGAUAUGGGACGGAAGCUGAUCUCCCGUGUGUUACCGCACGCGGUUGGCCAAAAUCCGAGCUAAGGACGUCAGUAGCGUCUUGACAUGCGGUGGUGAAUUUAAUUCUCGUCAUAUAGUCAAACGUUCCGGUCCAAAAGCUCUUAAUGACCCAAAGUCCUCAACGCGACCCCAGGUCAGGCGGGAUCACCCGCUGAGUUUAAGCAUAUCAAUAAGCGGAGGAAAAUAAAUUAACAAGGAUUCCCUUAGUAACGGCGAGCGAACCAGGAAGAGCCCAGCUUGAAAAUCGGACGUCUUUGGCGUUCGAAUUGUAGUCUGGAGAAGCGUCCUCAGCGACGGACCGGGCCCAAGUUCCCUUCCGCUGGAAAGGCGACAGAGAGGUGUGAGAGCCGCCGUCGCUGUCGUGCCGCGACCCUGUCGCACCACGAGCGGCUGUCUACGAGUCGGGUUGUUUGGGAACGCAGCCCCAAUCGGGCGGUAUAUUCCGUCCAAGGCUAAAAUAUGGGAGAGAGCCGGAUAUGCGAAACAAAGUACCUACCUUCUUGCGAGGUUGUAACAGAUGAAAAAGGAACUUUUGGAAAAGUUUAGAGUGAAAGAGUGCUUGAAAUUGGGGGGAGGGAAGCGGAUGGGGGCCGGCGAUGCGUCAUGGUCGGAUGCGGAACGGAGCAAUCCGGUCCGCCGAUAGAUUCGGGGCGUGGAGCGACGCGGGUUAAGGUGGGGACCUAAGGCCGGGCUUUUGUUACGUCCGCGGAGACGUCGCUGCGUUGAUCGUGGUCUGCAGCACGCGUCUCACGGCGUGCCUCGGCUUCUGCGUGCUCAGGGCGUUGGCUUGUGGGCUCCCCAUUCGACCCGUCUUGAAACAUGGACCAAGGAGUCUGACAUGUGUGCGAGUCAAAGGGUGAGUAAACCCAUAAGUUGAAAGGAAGCUGAUUGGCUGGAUCUCUUACGGGUGCACAGCCGACCCACCUUGAUCUUCUGAGAAAGGGUUUCGCACUGUGGUGGGAGCAGUGUGCAUGUUCGGUGACCGAAAAUUGGCUGCAACUAUGCCUGAGCGGGGAGAAGCCAGAGGAAACCUCUGAUGGAGAGCCGCGGAUGCGAUACUGUACGUGAAAUCGUUUCGUUGUUCUGACUUGGUUAGGUUGGCGAGAAAGACUAAAUUACGAACAUUAGUAGGCUGCGCUGUGCACUCGUCCGAAGUUUCGCGCUCAUGGGAAUAGCUUGUGAUGCCUUCGGCUGAAACGAUUCUUCGGGUAAAGCCAAGAAAUUAGAUUGGCAUCGGGGACGCAAUGUCCUCGACCUCUUCUCAAACUUUAAAUAGGUAGGACGUGUUGGCUGCUUUGUUGAGCCUUCCCACGGAAUCGAGAGCUGUAAGUGGGCCAUUUUUGGUUAGCAGAACUGGCGAUGCGCGAUGAACCGGAAGCCGGGUUACGGUGCCCAACUGCGCGCUAACCUUGAACCCACAAAGGGUGUUGGUCGAUUAAGACAGCAGGACGGUGGUCGUGGAAGUCGAAAUCCGCUAAGCAGUGUGUAACAACUCACCCUGCCGAAUCAACUAACCCCGAAAAUGGAUGGCGCUGAAGAGCGCGACCUAUACCCGGCCGUCGUGGCAAGAGCCAGGCCUCGUUGAGUAGGAGGGCGCGGCGGUCCGUGCAAAACCUAGGGCGCGGCCCCGGGCGGAGCGGCCGUCGGUGCAGAUCUUGUGUGUAGUAGCAAAUAUUCAAAUGAGAACUUUGAGGCCGAAGAGGGGAAAGGUUCCAUGUGAACGGCACUUUCACAUGGUUUAGUCGAUCCUAAGAGUCGGUGGAAACCCUUCUGAUAGCGCUUAUGCGGUAACUUCGAAAGGGGAUCCGGUUAAAAUUCGGGAACCGGGACGUGGCCGGUUGCAGCACGCAAAACUUGAUUAGGAGUGGGAGUCCGGGAGACGUCGGCGGGAAUUCCGGAACGAGUUAUCUUUUCUGUUUUAACGCCUGCACACCGCCUGGAAACGGCUCAGCCCGAGGUAGGGUCCAGCGGCUGGAAGAGCAUCGCACGUCGCGUGGUGUCCGGUGCAUUCCCGGCGGCCCUUUGAAAUCCGGAGGACCGAGGUCCGCUCACGCCCGGUCGUAAUCAUAACCGCAUCAGGUCUACAAGGUGAACAGCCUCUCGUCGAUGGAACAAUGUAGGUAGGCAAGGGAAGUCAGCAAAAUGGAUUUGUAACUUCGGGAAAAGGGUGGGCUCUGAGGGCUGGGCUAGGGGGUCCCAGUUCCGUUUAACCUUUCCGUCGAUCUAGUUGAGUCGGGCUGCUUUGAGCCUGCUAACUGUGUGGGGAGAGCGGACCGUCUCGUGUCGGCCGGGGGGUGGACUGGGGAUGGCUCUUUCGGGAGCUUUACCCGGGAGUCGAACAGCCAACUCAGAACUGGUAGCGACAAGGGGAAAUCCGAAUCGUUAAUUAAAACAAGUCAUUGCGAUGGUCCCUGCGGAUGCUAACGCACUGUGAUUUCUGCCCAGUGUUCUUUAAUGUAAACGUGAAGAAAUUCAACCAAGGGCGGGUAAACGGCGGGAGUUACUAUGACUCUCUUAAGGUUGCCAAAUGCGUAACGAUCUAAUUAAGGUGACUAGCGCAGUGGAAUGGAAGUUAACGGACUUUGAUUGCGCGUGCUAGGUCCUACGGUACUAUACAGCGAAAACACAGCCAACGGAACGGGAUUUGCAGAAUCAGCGGGGAAAGAAGACCCUGGUGAGCUUGACUCUAGUCCGACUUUUUGUGAAAUGUCUUGAGAGGUGUAGAAUAAAUGGGAGCUCCGGCGCAAGUGAAAUACCAACACUUUUAACGUUAUUUUAAUUACUCCGUGAAUAGGAGGCGGGGUAACAACCCCUUCUUUUAGACCCGAGACUCGCUUUGGCGGGUCGGUCCGGGGGGGGGACAUUGUCAGGUGGGGAGUUUGGCUGGGCCGGUUCACAUCUGUUAAAAGAUAAACCAGGUGUCCUAAGAUGAACCCAACGAGAACAUAAAUCUCAUGUGGAACCAAAAGGAGGGUGAAGUGCUCACGUUUUUGAUUCUUACCGUUUGUCAGUAUAUCAGAUAUGAAAUGGCCGUGAAAGCGUGGCUUAUCUAUCCUUUAGACCUUCUGAAUUUGAAUCUAGAGGUGUCAGAUAAGUUACCACAGGGAUAAUUGGCUUGUGGCAGCCAAGGUUUCAUAGCGACGUUGCUUAUUGAUCCUUCGAUGUCGGCUCUUCCUGUCAUUGUGAAGCAGAAUUCAUCAAGUGUUGGAUUGUUCAGCCACCAAUAGGGAACGUGAGCUGGGCAGUUUUGUAGACCGGUCGGCUGAGACCGGUUAAGUUUACCUACUCGAUCGCCCGCUCGCUCAAUAGUAAUUCAACGCUAAUGUGGACGAGAGCGACACGCUUGAUUUCGCAAUGGGUAUGGUCAUCUGCUGCCUGCGUUAGAAAAAGCCAGUGAGCGCGGCAAAGUCUAACGUGCGCUGGGAUUAGACUGAACGCCUCUCUUAGUCAGAAUCCGGGCUAGAAGCGACGCAUGCGCCCACCGCCCGAUUGCGAACCCUCAGUAGGAGCUUCGGCUCCCAAAGGCACUUGUCGUUGGCUAAGUCCGUUCGGUGGAUGCACCGUUCGGACCGCCUAGAAUUAUAAUUGUACGCGGGGGUU
rnacentral:rRNA from 1 species